rnacentral:rRNA from 1 species
AUUGAACGCUGGCGGCAGGCUUAACACAUGCAAGUCGAGCGGAGGUGAGGUGCUUGCACCUUAUCUUAGCGGCGGACGGGUGAGUAAUGCUUAGGAAUCUGCCUAUUAGUGGGGGACAACAUUCCGAAAGGAAUGCUAAUACCGCAUACGUCCUACGGGAGAAAGCAGGGGAUCUUCGGACCUUGCGCUAAUAGAUGAGCCUAAGUCGGAUUAGCUAGUUGGUGGGGUAAAGGCCUACCAAGGCGACGAUCUGUAGCGGGUCUGAGAGGAUGAUCCGCCACACUGGGACUGAGACACGGCCCAGACUCCUACGGGAGGCAGCAGUGGGGAAUAUUGGACAAUGGGCGAAAGCCUGAUCCAGCCAUGCCGCGUGUGUGAAGAAGGCCUUUUGGUUGUAAAGCACUUUAAGCGAGGAGGAGGCUACCUGGAAUAAUACUCUGGGAUAGUGGACGUUACUCGCAGAAUAAGCACCGGCUAACUCUGUGCCAGCCGCCGCCGUAACAC